rnacentral:misc_RNA from 1 species
UCUCCGUUGGUGAACCAGCGGAGGGAUCAUUACCGAGUUUACAACUCCCAAACCCAAUGUGAACCAUACCAAACUGUUGCCUCGGCGGGGUCACGCCCCGGGUGCGUCGCAGCCCCGGAACCAGGCGCCCGCCGGAGGGACCAACCAAACUCUUUCUGUAGUCCCCUCGCGGACGUUAUUUUUACAGCUCUGAGCAAAAAUUCAAAAUGAAUCAAAACUUUCAACAACGGAUCUCUAGGUUCUG